AUGAUGGUGAGAGGACUUCUUGGAAGAGGGAACGAGGAGAGCAAAGAUACAGAGCUCUUUUCUGGACAUCCACCCAUCCCUCCUAAAACUGCAGAAAGUGUUUUGGGACGCAAAAUCUGCCCAGAGCCUGUCUGGAAAAGGAGAGGAUCACUAAACCAGUGGCUAUGGCUGACGGUUACAGCGAUGCAACUAGUCCUUUCAGGGGACUGUGAGCAGAAGUGCUAUGUCGAGGUCCCUUCUGGUCUGUGGUUGGGACUAGUGAGGAUGGCACCAGGCGCUAAGAUGAACGUCACAAGAGAUGGAGCCUAGUUCCCUGAGUCACCAAAUGGAGGGGAGUUUCACCAACCUUCUUUGGACUUUGGGUGAGUUAGAAAUAAACCUUUUAUUGUGUUAAGGCA
rnacentral:lncRNA from 1 species